GCCCGCCUAGCUCAAUCGGAUAGAGCGUCAGACUUUUACGUUGCCUUCUCGGCGCUGUGAUCUGAAGGCUGCCGGUUCGACCCCGGCGGUGGGCG